CGUUCCAUGGCCAAAAGCAUCAUUGAUUAUAGGCGAAGAUGCGGGUUCGAGUCCCGCUGGAACGG
rnacentral:tRNA from 1 species